rnacentral:rRNA from 1 species
CACGUAGUUAGCCGGUGCUUCUUAUCUAGGUACCGUCACAAAAAGCUUCGUCCCUAGCGAAAGGAGUUUACAGCCCGAAGGCCGUCAUCCCCCACGCGGCGUCGCUGCAUCAGGCUUGCGCCCAUUGUGCAAUAUUCCCCACUGCUGCCUCCCGUAGGAGUCUGGGCCGUAUCUCAGUCCCAAUGUGGCCGUCCACCCUCUCAGGCCGGCUACCCGUCGCCGCCUUGGUAGGCCAUUACCCCACCAACAAGCUGAUAGGCCGCGAGCUCAUCCUACACCGAAAAAACUUUCCAACCAUCACACUAAAAAAUGGCUCCUAUCCGGUAUUAGACCCAGUUUCCCAGGCUUAUCCCGAAGUGCAGGGCAGAUCACCCACGUGUUACUCACCCGUUCGCCACUCGAGUACCCUGCAAGCAGGGCCUUUCCGUUCGACUUGCAUGUGUUAAGCACGCCGCCAGCGUUCGUCCUCGUAGCCACGGAGUCAAAACUACUA